rnacentral:rRNA from 1 species
GACGAACGCUGGCGGCGUGCCUAACACAUGCAAGUCGAACGGAAAGGCUCCAGCUUGCUGGCGUACUCGAGUGGCGAACGGGUGAGUAACACGUGGGUAAUCUGCCCUGCACUCUGGGAUAAGCCUGGGAAACUGGGUCUAAUACUGGAUAUGACCUUUCUCCUUAUGGGGUUUGGUGGAAAGUUUUUCGGUGUAGGAUGAGCCCGCGGCCUAUCAGCUUGUUGGUGGGGUGAUGGCCUACCAAGGCGACGACGGGUAGCCGGCCUGAGAGGGUGAUCGGCCACAUUGGGACUGAGAUACGGCCCAGACUCCUACGGGAGGCAGCAGUGGGGAAUAUUGCACAAUGGGCGGAAGCCUGAUGCAGCGACGCCGCGUGAGGGAUGACGGCCUUCGGGUUGUAAACCUCUUUCAGCAGGGACGAAGCGUAAGUGACGGUACCUGCAGAAGAAGCACCGGCUAACUAUGUG